rnacentral:rRNA from 1 species
UACAAAGGGGGCUAGCGUUGCUCGGAAUCACUGGGCGUAAAGGGUGCGUAGGCGGGUCUUUUAAGUCAGGGGUGAAAUCCUGGAGCUCAACUCCAGAACUGCCUUCGAUACUGGCGAUCUUGAGUCCGGAAGAGGUGAGUGGAACUCCUAGUGUAGAGGUGGAAUUCGUAGAUAUUAGGAAGAACACCAGUGGCGAAGGCGGCUCACUGGUCCGGUACUGACGCUGAGGUGCGAAAGCGUGGGGAGCAAACAGG